GACAGAGGGUGCAACCGUUGUUCGGAAUUACUGGGCGUAAAGCGUGUGUAGGUGGCUGUGCAAGUCGGAUGUGAAAGCCCUGGGCUCAACUCAGGAAGUGCACCCGAUACUGCAUAGCUAGAGUACCGGAGAGGUUGGUAGAAUUCUCGGUGUAGAGGUGAAAUUCGUAGAUAUCGAGAGGAAUACCUGUGGCGAAGGCGGCCAACUGGACGAGUACUGACACUGAGACACGAAAGCGUGGGGAGCAAACAGG
rnacentral:rRNA from 1 species